GUACUAAGGUAGCAUAAUCAUUAGUCUCUUAAUUAGGGAAUAGAAUGAAAGGAGUAACUAAUCAUAACAUUAUAAUAAAACUUUUUAAUUAAACUAGCGUUAUAGUAAGAAGACUAUAAUAUAUUAGAAAGACAACAAGACCCUAUUGAACUUUACAUUAAUGUUUUACUGGGGAAGUAAAUUAACAAAAUUUUAAUUAUAUAUAAUUUACUUAAUCGGAUCAACUCAAUUACAGAAACAAGUUACCAUAGGGGUAACAGCACAAUAUUACUUUAGAGCACGUAUCAAAAGUAAUGAUUAUGACCUCGAUGUUGAAUUAGAAUACUUAAUUAAGUAAAAUUAUUUAAAGUGGGUCUGUUCGACCCUUAAUUAUCUACGUGAU
rnacentral:rRNA from 1 species